rnacentral:lncRNA from 1 species
CAUGACCUUGGAACAAUUAUUUUCUCAAAAGAUAUUACCAACAAUGAUGUGAGCCGAAUGCCCAGACUGCCCUCCAGCGCAUGAAUCCCUAGCUUGGAACCAAUCCAAUAUGAGGAAGUCAAUAUCUGACUGUAGAAGGAACUCAUUUCCUGACACUGUUGUGAUCUGAGAGGAAAAAUGGACAGACUCACACAGAAAAGUACUUUUCCAAUCCCUGCCCGGUAAAGCGCAUUUAAUUCAGCCUUUCAAGUUACAUUUUUGUAUUCGUGCCUCUUUCGAAUUUCUGAGAAGUGGAUUGUGAAUCAUAUUUGCUUACUGAGCAACUGAAUUUUCAACACGGACAGUGGUGGUGGUGGCAGUGGAGGAGGACAUCAGUAAACACGUUAACAUUUACUAAAUCUUCUGAUCGAAUAACACAUGAUGCCCGUCUAUGCUGACGCACAAUAAGAAACAGAUGGGGUCUUCUGGUAAACCAUGCAAUGUGCCCCUUCUUCGUGUGCUAUUUGGUAGAUGCAAGUUUAAGGCAAAGAAGACAAAACUUAUAGAAAACAAAACGGGUUGUUGAAAAAGCUGCUGGCCUCCAUUCUGCAUCCCACUUUCAUCUUAUCCUGCAUCUCUACCAGGCACUAUGAUGUGUGUGUGUGUGUGUGUGUGUGUGUGUGUGUGUGUGUGUGUGUGUGUGUGUUGUGCGCGCGCGCGUGCCUUGUAGUAAUUUCAGGUCAGCGAAGCAGCAUUUGGAAAGUUCACUAGAAUUGUUGGUAACCAACUUGUUUAAAUUUUUGUCUGGAGAAACUGAAUUCAACAUUUCUUGGAUGUGUGUGUGUACAAACAACAUUUGUUCAUUAAAAUAGUAAAUGAUGAGGGAGAACACAGCAAUAGUGUCUGGAAAUUUCCACCACUGCCCCUUGAAAGCCUCAAGCAGCUUCAAUCGAAGGGUAGACCCAUCUCAAUUCCACUCUGCAACGGAUUUAUGUCAAAAAAUUAUAUAAGCAGUCCACUGACCAGUACACAGAGCAGACACACUCUUGGGGCUUUUCUGAAAGCCAUUUGACAACAGUUUCCCAUGAGCUUGGCACAUUGGUCUGUGUCUUUGCAAUCCCUCCAAAGACAGAGGCUGUUUUUUUAACCUUUAUAUUCCACAGAUAGGAGUUGUGGUGGAACAAUUUUUUUUAAAAAAGAGAAUUGAAUAUUGUUAACUGACAAUGUCCGUCCUCAGCAGUAAUGGUCUAUAUUUUUAAGGGGUUGUAUUUGUACCUUUAGCUGACGUUGAUUCUGAUGUUUUCAAGUAUCACUUCCAGCAAUAAGGGAGUAUUAGGCUUUAAUUUGGAUGAAAACAUACUAUAUAUAAUGACAUUUAUAGUAAUAAAAAUAUUCUGUGGUUUUAUUUAUUAGCAUGGAAAUGAACUCUUUUUAAAUCAUCACUCUUUAUGCUUAUCAGAUAUACAUUUAUUGUGCAGAGUGGGGAAAAUUAAAAAUAACAAAGAAUAAAAUUGAGAUUGCUCAGGGCUACAGAGAUUAACCAUUGUACACAUUUGAAUUUAAUAGUAGCUAAAUAAAUAUGAUAAUUACCAAUGGGUGCAUCGAUGUACAAGAAGACUAUAUUUAAUAAUUUGUUAAUUAUGAAUAUUACUGACUUUUUUCCAGUUGAACACACAAACAUGCAUAGGGCAGUCAGUGAAAAUCAAAGAGCGUCACUUUGCUCCUGAGUCUUUUUCUGAAGCAUCAUCUUUUCAGUUGCAGAAUAAAUGCUAUUGAUAAUUC